UUGCACUGUUCGUAACCUGGCUCAGUCCUCAGUGUGAGCUGUGGGUUCCAUUCCAGUGCCACAGUAAAGCCCAGAGAGUAGCAGAGGUCGAGUACUGUUUCUCUGUUCACUCUCGCAGGACACUA
ensembl:snoRNA